rnacentral:rRNA from 1 species
CCUACGGGGGGCUGCAGUGGGGAAUAUUGCACAAUGGGCGCAAGCCUGAUGCAGCCAUGCCGCGUGUGUGAAGAAGGCCUUCGGGUUGUAAAGCACUUUCAGCGGGGAGGAAGGCGGUGAGGUUAAUAACCUCAUCGAUUGACGUUACCCGCAGAAGAAGCACCGGCUAACUCCGUGCCAGCAGCCGCGGUAAUACGGAGGGUGCAAGCGUUAAUCGGAAUUACUGGGCGGAAAGCGCACGCAGGCGGUCUGUCAAGUCGGAUGUGAAAUCCCCGGGCUCAACCUGGGAACUGCAUUCGAAACUGGCAGGCUAGAGUCUUGUAGAGGGGGGUAGAAUUCCAGGUGUAGCGGUCAAAUGCGUAGAGAUCUGGAGGAAUACCGGUGGCGAAGGCGGCCCCCUGGACAAAGACUGACGCUCAGGUGCGAAAGCGUGGGGAGCAAACAGCAUUAGAUACCCUAGUAGUC